rnacentral:hammerhead_ribozyme from 1 species
AAGCUGACGAGUCCCAAAUAGGGCGAAACGCGCGUCCUGGGU